ensembl:lncRNA FLJ43315 asparagine synthetase pseudogene
CUUACCAGCACAGACAUCGCCAGGAGAGCAUCGCCAGGUCUGAGCUGAGUUCUCCUCUGCACAGACUUCGGAGAUACAGCGAAGGCGGAGCAGUGUUCUCCUCAGCACAGACCCAGGCGGGCCGGGGGCACCGCGAGGGCGGAGCUGCGUUCUGCUCAGCACAGACCCCGGGGACACCGCGAAGGCAGAGUAGCGUUCUCCUCACAACAGACCUUGGGGGCAGUGCCUCGCUUUGGGACAACUCGGGGCCGCAUAGACGGGAUCAUGGCACAAGUUGCAGUUUCCACCCUGCCCAUUGAAGAUGAGGAGUCCAUGGAAGAUGAGGAGUCAUUGAAGAUGAUUCUGCGGAGAGCAGGAUGGUGGUGACAUUGCUCAUAUCAGCUCUCGAGUCCACAGUGCAGCACCGUUUUGAAUUUGAAUACCAGACCAAAGUGGAUGGUGACAUAAUCCUUCAUCUUUAUGACAAAGGAGGAAUUGAGCAAACAAUUUGUAUGUUGGAUAGUGUGUUUACAUUUGUUUUACUGGAUUCUGCUAACAAGAAACUGUUCCUGGGCAGAGAUACAUAAGGAGUCAGACCUUUGUUUAAAGCAGUGACAGAAGAUGGAUUUUUGGCUGUGUGUUCAGAAGCUAAAGGUAAUAGUAAAUUUAUCUAUAGAUUUCCA